rnacentral:lncRNA from 1 species
UGAUGUUCCAUUUCCACCAUCAGGAGUAAUAAUGGCCACCACCCAGCAAGCCACUUUUUGAUACUACAGCAAGCCUGAGAAAUGGGUUUUUUCUCAUCCAAGAAUCUAAGAAGAGUCCCCAAAGAAGGCUGACAACAAACGAAUGGAGAAAACCCAACCUCCACAGCCUGCAGCACAGCCAGAGACCCUCUGUGAGCCGAGUCAGUAAGUUAGAGCCACAUGUCCCCCAGGAACCAACCAACACCCAUUUUUCAUGGAUUUCUCUGCCCUGGCCUGCAGAACCUCUCCUUCUAUGUGAACCUCUCAUUGUAAUCACUGUUUGCCUACGGGUUUGGUCUCGUGCACACGUACCAUAUCCCCAGGGCAACGGGACCGAAGACUGAUUUUUAAAACACAUUUUUUUUUCUGACUACAAAUGGCAUACAAGAGCAAAGAAUAAAUAAAAAUUGU